CUACCCUACGGGGGGCAGCAGUCGGGAAUAUUGCGCAAUGGAGGAAACUCUGACGCAGUGACGCCGCGUGCAGGAAGAAGGUUUUCGGAUUGUAAACUGCUUUAGACAGGGAAGAAACAAGACAGUACCUGUAGAAUAAGCUCCGGCUAACUACGUGCCAGCAGCCGCGGUAAUACGUAGGGAGCAAGCGUUAUCCGGAUUUACUGGGUGUAAAGGGAGCGCAGGCGGUGCGGCAAGUCUGAUGUGAAAGCCCGGGGCUCAACCCCGGGACGGCAUUGGAA
rnacentral:rRNA from 1 species